CGGUCCAUGAUUGUGUCAAAAUGCUGCUGUGCUAAGAUAGUUGUCGGAACAAGCAGGGCUACCUGCUUCCCGUCAGCAAUCGCUUUGAAGGCCGCACGAAUAGCCACCUCCGUUUUUCCGUAACCCACAUCUCCACAAAGCAGACGGUCCAUUGGACGUUCCCGCUCCAUAUCCUGUUUAAUUUCGUGAAUCGAACGGAU
rnacentral:misc_RNA from 1 species